rnacentral:rRNA from 1 species
UGAGGAAUAUUGGUCAAUGGGCGGGCGCCUGAACCAGCCAAGCCGCGUGAGGGAAGAAGGCCCUAUGGGUCGUAAACCUCUUUUGUCAGGGAACAAAAGCGAGUAUGUAUACUGGUCUGAGUGUACCUGAAGAAAAAGCAUCGGCUAACUCCGUGCCAGCAGCCGCGGUAAUACGGAGGAUGCGAGCGUUAUCCGGAUUUAUUGGGUUUAAAGGGUGCGUAGGCGGCGGUGCAAGUCAGCGGUAAAAGCCCGGGGCUCAACCCCGGCGAGCCGUUGAAACUACAGUGCUAGAGAAGGCGAGAGGUACGCGGAAUGCGCAGUGUAGCGGUGAAAUGCUUAGAUAUUGCGCAGAACUCCGAUUGCGAAGGCAGCGUACUGGCGCCUGACUGACGCUGAGGCACGAAAGCGUGGGGGAUCGAACAGGAUUAGAUACC